UACGAAGGGGGCUAGCGUUGCUCGGAAUCACUGGGCGUAAAGCGCACGUAGGCGGAUUGCUAAGUCAGGGGUGAAAUCCUGGAGCUCAACUCCAGAACUGCCUUUGAUACUGGCGAUCUUGAGUCCGGGAGAGGUGAGUGGAACUGCGAGUGUAGAGGUGAAAUUCGUAGAUAUUCGCAAGAACACCAGUGGCGAAGGCGGCUCACUGGCCCGGUACUGACGCUGAGACGGCGAAAGCGUGGGGAGCAAACAGG
rnacentral:rRNA from 1 species